UACGUAGGGUGCGAGCGUUAAUCGGAAUUACUGGGCGUAAAGUGUGCGCAGGUGGCCGCGCAAGUCGAGUGUGAAAUCCCCGAGCUUAACUUGGGAAUUGCGCUCGAAACUACGUGGCUCGAGUGUGGCAGAGGAAGGUGGAAUUCCACGUGUAGCGGUGAAAUGCGUAGAGAUGUGGAGGAACACCAAUGGCGGAGGCAGCCUUCUGGGCCAACACUGACGCUCAUGCACGAAAGCGUGGGGAGCAAACAGG
rnacentral:rRNA from 1 species